GCCUAAAGCGUCCGUAGCCUGCUCUGUAAGUUUCCGGUUAAAUCCAUUAGCUCAACUAAUGGGCCGCCGGAAAAACUGCAAAGCUAGGGAGUGGGAGAGGUAGACGGUACUCGGUAGGAAGGGGUAAAAUCCUUUGAUCUAUCGAUGACCACCUGUGGCGAAGGCGGUCUACCAGAACACGUUCGACGGUGAGGGAUGAAAGCUGGGGGAGCAAACCGGAUUAGAUACCCGGGUAGUCCCAGCUGUAAACGAUGCAGACUCGGUGAUGCGCUGGCUUGUGGCCAGUGCAGUGCCGCAGGGAAGCCGUUAAGUUUGCCGCCUGGGAAGUACGUACGCAAGUAUGAAACUUAAAGGAAUUGGCGGGGGAGCACCACAAGGGGUGAAGCCUGCGGUUCAAUUGGAGUCAACGCCAGAAAUCUUACCCGAGGAGACAGCAGAAUGAAGGUCAAGCUGGAGACUUUACCAGACAAGCUGAGAAGUGGUGCAUGGCCGUCGCCAGCUCGUGCCGUGAGAUGUCCUGUUAAGUCAGGUAACGAGCGAGAUCCCUGCCUCUAGUUGCCACCAUUACUCUCAGGAGUAGUGGGGCGAAUUAGCGGGACCGCCACAGUUAAUGUGGAGGAAGGAAGGGGCCACGGCAGGUCAGUAUGCCCCGAA
rnacentral:rRNA from 1 species